rnacentral:rRNA from 1 species
UACAGAGGGUGCAAGCGUUGUUCGGAAUUAUUGGGCGUAAAGCGCGUGUAGGCGGCUUUGCAAGUCGGGUGUGAAAUCCCUCAGCUCAACUGAGGAAGUGCGCCCGAAACUGCAGAGCUUGAGUGCCGGAGAGGAUGGCGGAAUUCCCCAAGUAGAGGUGAAAUUCGUAGAUAUGGGGAGGAACACCGGUGGCGAAGGCGGCCAUCUGGACGGCAACUGACGCUGAGACGCGAAAGCGUGGGUAGCAAACAGG